UCCUGCCGUAAUACUGUAAAUGUACACCCACGUAUAUGAGAGACAGCAAAUCCUGCCUGGCUUUGGAGAGAAAAAAUGUGAAGGCCACAGGACCUUAAAAGAUGGAUGAGGAUCAUAUAGGAUCAUACAGCUGCUAUGGGGGAUGAGUGUGUGGGUCAAGAACCAAGGCUUGAGAGUUACCCAUUCAGAGCAGAAAUCCAGGAAGUUUCCUUACAUGCAUCUUCACUUUUACUGAUUAUAUGCAUACUGUAUUAAUAUUAAGGCCUGAGGCUGAAGAAGUGCCAGUACUGAUCCCUAAAUCUCCAGAACAAGAAAGGGGGAAAGAAAGAAGGUCCCCUUGGCUGUUUUCCAUAAAUCUAGAACUAUGAACAUUGCAUUCCUCUGAGACUUCUUUUCUGCUGGAGCUUUGGAGUGUGACAAUGGUGUUUGUAUCCAAUCUCUCAAACGCCAUUAUCACACUAAAUAGCUACUGUUAGAUAAACCAUCAGGUGCAGGAAAAAAAAGGAAGAGGAAGAGGUGUUGGUGGUGAUGGAGGAGAAGAAUAUUUGAGAAAUGCAUUUUCUGGCAGCUGCGAGAGAAUACCACAAUGAGAUGUCAUGACAGCUCUGUGCUUUUCAUUGCCAAAAUAUCACACAAUAAAUAAUACGUUCUGUUUCUUAAAAAUGCACAUGGUGAUCCAACUAGUUUUGCUGAGAUGGCAUGACUCAAAUUUAUGUUCAUCAAUGGCAGGAAAAUUUGACUGCUCAAGAGCAAAUGAUUAUGUAGGCUCAUUAGCACAAACAGCCCACACACAACUGUCUCUCUUUUCCUUCUCCCCCUCCCCAAUUCAUACGGCAUUAUUAAGUAUUCAUUCCAUUUAUUAACAAGUUAAUAGUUAUGGCUAUUUUAGUCUGGAGCAGGAGCUCUAUUGUUGCAUUGACUUUUGAGAAAUAAGCUGGAUCAUAAAAGCAUAAUUCUGUUUGGGACUCAGCUGCAUGUAGCCCAGCUGUGAAUACAUUCAUCAUUUUGCCAAAUGUUAAAGAGAACAGCAGCCAACUUGUCACAUUGUCUGAAAUUUGGCAGAAAAAUAACCAAGAUCCAUUCCCAUAACUGCAAAAUAAAUAUUCCAUUGUUGCGCCUAUCUCUUUGAAAUCAAUGGGAAGAUGGAAUUUGGGCUGCAUAUACGAUCCACUGGUCAUGCUCAUAUCAGGAUUCAACCUCUAAUUUCCACCUUUGACUGUACUAUCCCAACCUGAUUUGGAAUCAUCAUCAUCAUCUCAUAUAUUGUCAAAAGUUCUAUUAAAUAUCAGUAAAAAUAACUCACUGUACUUUACAUGAAAGGCUGUACUGAACUUCUAAAGUCUGGUCUAUUUAAUCUACAUAAUUUAUUUAUGUACUUACUUGUUAGGUUAUUAUGCAGUCAUAGCUGACUCUGAGCAAUGAUGUCAAAAUCAGUUUUUCUACUAAGUAUACACUCAAGGGGGAGCCCAAUUGUGCCUCACUUAUUCAUUUGGUGUUAUAAAAGUGUUUA